rnacentral:rRNA from 1 species
AGGCGAUGGCGGUCUGCUUAAACAUGCAAGUCGAACGGGCUCUUCGGAGCUAGUGGCGGACGGGUGAGUAACGCGUGAGAAUCUGCCUUCAGGUCUGGGACAACAGAAGGAAACUUCUGCUAAUCCCGGAUGAGCCCUUGGGUAAAAGAUUAAUUGCCUGGAGGUGAGCUCGCGUCUGAUUAGCUAGUUGGUGUGGUAAAAGCAUACCAAGGCAACGAUCAGUAGCUGGUCUGAGAGGAUGAGCAGCCACACUGGGACUGAGACACGGCCCAGACUCCUACGGGAGGCAGCAGUGGGGAAUUUUCCGCAAUGGGCGAAAGCCUGACGGAGCAAGACCGCGUGGGGGAGGAAGGCUCUAGGGUUGUAAACCCCUUUUCUUUAGGAAGAAGUUCUGACGGUACUAAAGGAAUCAGCCUCGGCUAACUCCGUGCCAGCAGCCGCGGUAAUACGGAGGAGGCAAGCGUUAUCCGGAAUGAUUGGGCGUAAAGCGUCCGCAGGUGGCCAUGUAAGUCUGCUGUCAAAACCCAGGGCUCAACUCUGGUCAGGCAGUGGAAACUACGUAGCUUGAGUCUGGUAGGGGCAAAGGGAAUUCCCGGUGUAGCGGUGAAAUGCGUAGAGAUCGGGAAGAACAUCGGUGGCGAAAGCGCUUUGCUAGACCAGAACUGACACUCAGGGACGAAAGCUAGGGGAGCGAAUGGGAUUAGAUACCCCAGUAGUCCUAGCCGUAAACGAUGGAUACUAGGUGUUGCCUGUAUCGACCCAGGCAGUGCCGUAGCUAACGCGUUAAGUAUCCCGCCUGGGGAGUACGCACGCAAGUGUGAAACUCAAAGGAAUUGACGGAAGGG